AUUCUUGGUCAUUUAGAGGAAGUAAAAGUCGUAACAAGGUUUCCGUAGGUGAACCUGCGGAAGGAUCAUUAUUGAUUGCGAAUUGUUGUCUCCAGUGCUGGCCCGGUCACUCUGGCAAGUGCACGUAGACAGCUUUCAUCCAAUACCCUUGUGAACCUUUGGCCUCUUGCUAGCUUCGGCCAGCAGAGGAUUUUUACACCCACUCGAAUGUAAUGAAAUUACUGUUGUGCACAAGCACUAAUAUACAACUUUCAACAACGGAUCUCUUGGCUCUCGCAUCGAUGAAGAACGCAGCGAAAUGCGAUAAGUAAUGUGAAUUGCAGAAUUCAGUGAAUCAUCGAAUCUUUGAACGCACCUUGCACCCUUUGGUAUUCCGAAGGGUAUGCUCGUUUGAGUGUCAUUGUACUCUCACACUUCCGAUCGUUGGAUCGGGAGCGGUGGACUUGGGUGUUGCUGCUUUACUGUGGCUCACCUUAAAUGCAUUAGUGCAACUUUCGAUUGGACAUAGUACGGCGUGAUAAGUGUCUUCGCCGGCACCUCACAGAGGGUGGCCGAUCGGGAGCUCUGUGCUUCAAACCGUCUUCGGACAAUAACUGACAACUUGACCUCAAAUCGAGUAGGACUACCCGCUGAACUUAAGCAUAUCAAUAAGCGGAGGAAAUCG
rnacentral:rRNA from 1 species